rnacentral:tRNA from 2 species
GCCCCCGUAGCCCAAUGGCAGAGGCAGCUGGCUUAAACCCGGUUCAGUGCGGGUUCGACUCCCGUCGGGGGCA